rnacentral:rRNA from 1 species
AAAAGGUGGCUAUGCUACCGCUUUUGGAUGGGCCCGCGGCGCAUUAGCUAGUUGGUGGGGUAAAGGCUUACCAAGGCAAUGAUGCGUAGCCGAAUUGAGAGGUUGAUCGGCCACAUUGGGACUGAGACACGGCCCAAACUCCUACGGGAGGCAGCAGUAGGGAAUCUUCCACAAUGGGCGAAAGCCUGAUGGGGCAACGCCGCGUGGGUGAAGAAGGUCUUCGGAUCGUAAAACCCUGUUGUUAGAGAAGAAAGUGCGUGAGAGUAACUGUUCACGUUUCGACGGUAUCUAACCAGAAAGCCACGGCUAACUACGUGCCAGCAGCCGCGGUAAUACGUAGGUGGCAAGCGUUAUCCGGAUUUAUUGGGCGUAAAGGGAACGCAGGCGGUCUUUUAAGUCUGAUGUGAAAGCCUUCGGCUUAACCGGAGUAGUGCAUUGGAAACUGGGAGACUUGAGUGCAGAAGAGGAGAGUGGAACUCCAUGUGUAGCGGUGAAAUGCGUAGAUAUAUGGAAGAACACCAGUGGCGAAAGCGGCUCUCUGGUCUGUAACUGACGCUGAGGUUCGAAAGCGUGGGUAGCAAACAGGAUUAGAUACCCUGGUAGUCCACGCCGUAAACGAUGAAUGCUAAGUGUUGGAGGGUUUCCGCCCUUCA